rnacentral:rRNA from 1 species
UACGGAGGGAGCUAGCGUUGUUCGGAAUUACUGGGCGUAAAGCGCACGUAGGCGGCUUUGUAAGUUAGAGGUGAAAGCCUGGGGCUCAACUCCAGAACUGCCUUUAAGACUGCAUCGCUUGAAUCAUGGAGAGGCGGGUGGAAUUCCGAGUGUAGAGGUGAAAUUCGUAGAUAUUCGGAAGAACACCAGUGGCGAAGGCGGCUCACUGGACCGGUAUUGACGCUGAGGUGCGAAAGCGUGGGGAGCAAACAGG